GACGAACGCUGGCGGCGUGCUUAACACAUGCAAGUCGAACGGAAAGGCCCUGCUUUUGUGGGGUGCUCGAGUGGCGAACGGGUGAGUAACACGUGAGUAACCUGCCCUUGACUUUGGGAUAACUUCAGGAAACUGGGGCUAAUACCGGAUAGGAGCUCCUGCUGCAUGGUGGGGGUUGGAAAGUUUCGGCGGUCGGGGAUGGACUCGCGGCUUAUCAGCUUGUUGGUGGGGUAGUGGCUUACCAAGGCUUUGACGGGUAGCCGGCCUGAGAGGGUGACCGGCCACAAUGGGACUGAGAGACGGCCCAGACUCCUACGGGAGGCAGCAGUGGGGAGUAUGGCACAAUGGGCGGAAGCCUGAUGCAGCAACGCCGCGUGCGGGAUGACGGCCUUCGGGUUGUAAACCGCUUUCGCCUGUGACGAAGCGUGAGUGACGGUAAUGGGUAAAGAAGCACCGGCUAACUACGUG
rnacentral:rRNA from 1 species